UCUCGGCGCAUCGCCUUCCGCCCGAAGGGCUGGGCCCGGCCGCGCCGCACGCAUCGCCGCUCCCCAGCCGGGCCCGGCUCCGCCCCGCCUCCUCGCUCUCUCAGCAGUCCCGUGAAAGCUCUGAGCGAGGGGAGCUCCUCGGCCAGCUCUGCUAGCGCGGUCGGGCGGCAGCGCCGCGCGGCGACCCGGGGCUCGUCAAGGCCAGAGACAGGCCGACUGCAAGCUGAGGGAGCGUGCCUGCAGCAAUCCUCGGAGCCACCCCGAAGCACUUCUUGUGCUGGUCGGAGUCCUCACAGAAGACAGUCCUGUUUUUCUCAGAGAAGACACUAAUAAAAAGAACUGCUAAAAAUUACUUACAGAACUGUAUGCUGUUGCAUUGAGGAUCCAAUGUAGUAAUAACCGUAUUGUGGGCAUAAGUGAGGGCUGGGAAGCAGAGGGCUCUAUGACUGUAAGGCAGCCAGCGUUGGGGCUCCCCAAUGCUUUUGCAGUCAUUCAGUUUCAUAUCAGUGUGAGUGCCCUGUGCCCUGGCACAGUGUGGCUUUGGCCUAAGGCACCAACUGGGUGCUGGGGGGGGCUGAUGAGGCAGCUCUCAAAUGAGUCCUGGGUGGGCCACCUGACUUCACACCAGGAGAACACGGGUCGUUUAUUUCAGAACAAGCAGGGUAUAACUGCAAACCUUCUCAUGUCAGCCUAAACCCUUCACAAAUCUUUGGCUGUAUGUUCUUUCUUGCCAAAAUCUACAGUGUACACAAGCUGAUCUUGGAGACCAGUAGCAAUGAAACAGCUACUCUGCCCACCCAGGGCUGUAGUUCAAAAUACUAAGGCAGUCUUGAAAUUGCAUUGUAUUUUAAUUUAAUUACUUUUCAAGCUUUCUAGAAAAAAUAAAUGUUCACUACAAAGUGAUAAAACUGUCUUAAGCCAACUUAACCCUCAUCCACCGCUUGUGAAAUAUGCACAUUAAGUGCACUAAAUACUUGGAGUGUUUGCAUUCAGAGGAAAGUUGUAUUUGGAAAACAACAGCUAGAAUUCAGACUGUCCCUGUCAACCUCUUUUCUGCCUAAUCCAAAUCAGAUUUCCCCAAAUACUAUUUCUUUUUUUUGCAGUCAAAGACGUUAGAGCAUCUUCUCUGCAUAUUUGCAUUCAGCUGUCUCCACAGAGGGUAUCUGCCAGAGCCACCAGCUUUGGCAAAACAGACUCCCCCUCAAAGUAUCUAAUUGAACUAAAAAGCUGCUGUGAGCAGUCUGAUUCUGCAAGUAGUUCAAAACUUAACAUUUCUCCCUCUGAUAGCUUUAGUGACAGCACAAAAAGAAGCAUGCAGCAUAUGCAGCUGCAGUGCAAGGUAAAGGGAGCCUAUUCCAUUAUUUUUCCUACUCAUUUGAAUCAUUGGGGCCUGUCCUGGGUGAUGGAUGGUGCAUUUCCAUCAGACACAAGGGAGGGACAGCAGUGAACAGCCUGGGGCUGGCCCUUGGCAGGCACCUCUGUUUUCUGUUAGAGUAGCCAGGGGAACAGUGGGCUACGAACAUAACUAUGCCAUCUAUACAUACAUGUGCCUCAUCGGGUUCAUCCAGAUCUGCUGGGCUGGUGUGAUUUCCCAUGCCUUUCCAGUUUUAUGAGGAGACCAAAGCUGCCUGGAUCCAGAGGGCAGAGCUGUCCCAGCAGCAGCUGGAUCCAGCUCUCCUGCAGAGGCAGCCCACUGCCGUGCCUGGCUGUGACAGCCUCUCCUGCUGGCUGUGCUCUUCAAGCAUCUUCCCAGGCUACAGAAGUCAUAACUGCUCAUCUCCAGUCACCAAUGGGAAAUGAAAAAGGGUGCUACACUGCAAGCCAGAGAUACACGGAGAAUGGCAAAUCUGUGAGGCAAGUUGUGCAAGAGCCUGAUGUAAGGGCACGUGUUUCCAAAGCAGUGGCCUGUUCGAGCCUGGCAAGAUCACUGCAUGGUAUGCUGGCCGCAGAAUGAGCCGUUGGUUCAAGCCGGCUGCUCAAAGAACUCCUGCAAAAGGCUGCUCCUUCUCUGUAAGACACAGCACUGGAAUGUGAUGCUCCGGGGUUGCUCAGGGUUGCCAAGCUGCUCUGCACAAACCUCGUUUCUUUGUACUAGAGCCAACGAUUCCCUUGUGUCUUUCUGGGGCCUUCAGGGAAGUGGAGGAAUGGAAAGGAGCGCUCUGCUUACUGCACAGGCAUGUUGGAAAACACCUCCCACAUCACACUACACAUCUGUGGCACUGACCAUUUACUGAGAAGUCUGAGUGGGGCAGCACUGCUUGCUGUGCAAAAAAGGGCAACACUGAGGCCAGCCGCUCUGUUUUCUCAAGGCACAAAGCCACCUUGCAUAAGCUAGAUGGUUCAUGGUUGAGGGGCACUGAGCAGGCGUGAAAGGACCAUGUACCUGCUCAGAAGCUCCGCUGAACCUGAAGGACUCUUCUGCUCAUAUUCAGCACAAAACCCAGCAACUGGGAGUGCUGCUUUCUGUGUGCAAGUAGGGGUAGCUCUGUAUCUUCCAGCUUAGAAAACAGACCACAUCAAAUUCUUUUUUCUUUUAUAAAUCCAUGCCUUUUCUUCAAUAAAUAUUUACUUGUUUAGUAUUUACUUUUUAGUAUUACAAGUGCUUGACUUCCUAGGAGGUAUUAAUCGAAACUAUAGCAAUGAAUGCUAAGCAUGACUGAAAGUGUAUCUGUGUGUUAGAGGUGUGCAGUGGAAGUAAUGGCAAAUGUGAGAAUGUAACCGAUGGGCAGCAUGUUUUCACAUUAUUUUUUCUGAAAAAGCUCUAAGUGGGACAACAACACUAGGAUGAUAAUAAAAGAUGUAAGAAAAUCUUCACAAGACACCUGGGGUAUUCUCUCGACACAGAAGAGCAGGCUGAGGAAGUAGCCAAAAUACUCAGAUUAAAGCUAUACAUGUAUAUGUAUAUGUACAUAAAUGAAUGGUCAUGAUUAUAGGUAUGUUAUUUAUGAUAUAUUAAUUAUAUAUUACAUGACUACAUUAUGAUAUAUAGUGAACUGAUGUAAUAUGGAUAUAGAAUUAACUGAAGGCAUGGUCCUGGAGACUGAGUAGUUUUGGCUGGAGCUUUGGACCGGAAAUAUGCUCAACGUGUGGAAAAUAAUUAGUGAAUUAAAACAUGAAUGAUGGAAGACAGCCGGUAAGAAAACACAGUGCAGUGUAAUAAGGAACUGAUGAAAUGUUUACAAAACUGAGCUCUAGCUUAUAUAUGAGCUCCUGAAGCUCGGACAUCAGUGUGCUGUUCAGCUGCAGCACAACACUUGCCUGUCUACAGGACACCUGCAUGACAAAUUCAGUGUCUUAUCAAGCUGGGCAGUAGUUCCUCACAGGGUUCCGGGCUGACUCUGAAGCAGGCAGCUGUGGGCAGUGGUUGCUUUCUGGGCAUGCAGGGUGGGAUGGUGCUCCUAGGCUUUCUGCCCAGCUGGGCACCAGGAGUGGGCAGGGGGAGGGGGAGAGGCAGACCCUGAAGAGAGCAGCUGGACACAGGUGCGAUGACAAGCUUCUCUGUGAGGUCCAAGGUCAAGGCAACCUCCAUCUCUGUCUCUUCACCAAGUGCAUGGAGGUUCAUACCAAGAGAAAAUUUGAAAGGUUUUCAGAAGCCAGCCAAAGCCUUUGCAUUGCUGUUUACUACAGAAUAGCUUCAGGCUAUUCCCUGGCUGAGGUUUUUCUUUAUGAGGAAUGAAUCAGCCAGACAAAUCUGUUUAAAACUGAAGUAAGUAGAAAAAAUCUUAAGACAAAUUGCUCAUAAGAAGAAAUUGCUAGCACUAGAUCAUACUUGCUCCUGUGUUGUAGACUAAACAAGAAAUUAGUCACCUGCCUGCUUAUGUAACCAUAAAACAAAAUGCCCUUGAUAUGAGAGGAAUGGGAUGUGGCAAAUGCAAUUCCACUUUUUAAAAAGGACUUGGGGAACUACGAGCCAUUGAGUCUAGUGUCUCUAUCAGGCAAAUGUAUGGAAGCUAUACCAAAGAAUGUAAUUGAUAGAAGUAGGGAAAAAAAAUAAUGGUAAAAUAGUGAUGAGUCACAAUGAUUUUAUAGAUGGGAAAGUGCUUCAUUGGCAAGGCAGGGAGACUGGAGGCUCCCCAGCAAGGGAGGGCAGGAGUCCAUCUGGGUCCCAGGAGACAGAGCAGAGUGCCUGUCUGGAGAGCAGAGAGGCCAGGGCUGAGCCCAGUUCCCUCUUCCUGGCUGGGCUCAGCCCCCCUGCAGCUUGCUCACUGCCUGCUGCACAGGGGCGAUGGGAGCUAGCACUCAGGGUGCCCCAGCUGUGCUGCUGGGGGGGGAAGCAUGAGAGCGCUGGGGAGGGGUGCAAGGGGUGAUGCCCCCCUGCCUGCAGCUCUCGGUACCGAGUGACUGGGCAGGGAGAAACCAGCGACUCCAGAUGAAACCAUCUCAGAUUUGAAAGUGAGCCUUGAAUUUUGAAAGGAGGUUUUCAGAGAGAGUUGAGAACUGCAUUUUUACUUCCCCAUUCUCAGUUGAGUUUAAUUAAUAUCCCAUCCCAGUUACUGCUGCAUACAAUUUAAACCACAAUGGGGCUUCUUGGAGAAUGUAACUAUUAGACCAGAGUUAAUAGCACCAAUUAGUGGGUGGAUGACAUUCUCUAGCUUUCAAAAAAGUCUUAAAUUUAAAACAAACCUUUUCUUUUUGUUCUUUGAAUGCCAAUGGCCUUUCUCUGAUGAUGUCCUUUCUUUGAGAACUGUUGUUCAAAAUAUGGAUGAAGACUGUUUGCUGAGCGCUGCUGUCUUCUACCUGGACAGCCAGGCUUGUGUUUUGAAAGCCCACUGUAAGAUCCUCAUUGGCCAAAGGGUAAGAAAACAAGGCUAGUGCAAACUGCUGCUACAAAGUGGUGAUUACAAGCAGUUUUAAGCUAAACCGACAGAUGUGGGAAAAGGGAAAGCCUACCUGAUACCACCCCAGUUUUCUGUUUGUAAUCCCCUGGCCCACCCAAUUUUGUCCCCAGCACACAGUUUUUCCCUGGAAUCCCUUUGGGGUUAUUGUCCCCACACAUGUACUCCUGGGAAUUGGGCAUUUAGUUCUGGCUUUCCAGUUCUGUGGGUGGCAUGUUGGUGUUUUGCACAGCAUAAACACCAAAGGCUGCCCCAGUAACAGUGGCUUGGAGCCAUGUGUGGGAGCCUCCUCGCCAGGCACAGGCUUGGUCUCUCCUUUGCAUGGCCAGUGGGUGCUUCUCGGUCAGCCCACAGGCCUGGCCCCAAGCCCUGGACAUGUGCAGGUUGUCUGCACCCCAUGGGGUCAGGACUGCCCCACAGACCUGCAAACUGUGGUCCCUGAGCUUGCCUUUUCUUAUUUCAUUUUUCUGUUUGCAGCUAAACUUUGAGUUCACCUCUUAUUACACAAUCUUCUCAUGGAUACACUUUUUUAUAUAUUUAUGUUAUGCAAAUAAACUAUAUAAAAGUG